GUAUUGAUCGCGCGUGAUCGCGCAAAGAACAUUCUACACUACGUUCGAAUGGGUGUUUAAUGUUAAAAACGUGAGCACCCCCUCCGAGGAAGGGGACCCACGCGGUGAUGCACAAAGGGGUGAGAUGGAUAUUUGUAUGUGAGAGCACUCGGGCGUGCACGACAAAAAGUCAGCGACAGCCUUGGUACCCCCAUUGUACGAUAAUGAUCCUUCCGCAGGUUCACCUACGGAAA
rnacentral:misc_RNA from 1 species